rnacentral:rRNA from 1 species
CCCGCUGAACUUAAGCAUAUCAAUAAGCGGAGGAAAAGAAACCAACAGGGAUUGCCUCAGUAACGGCGAGUGAAGCGGCAACAGCUCAAAUUUGAAAUCUGGCCUCUUUGGGGUCCGAGUUGUAAUUUGGAGAGGACGUUUUGGGUACCGCGCCGGUUUAAAUUUCUUGGAACAGAAUGUCAAAGAGGGUGAGAAUCCCGUCUUGGACCGGCGUAGGGCCUGUGUAAAACUCCUUCGACGAGUCGAGUUGUUUGGGAAUGCAGCUCAAAAUGGGUGGUAAAUUUCAUCUAAAGCUAAAUAUUGGCCAGAGACCGAUAGCGCACAAGUAGAGUGAUCGAAAGAUGAAAAGCACUUUGAAAAGAGAGUUAAACAGUAUGUGAAAUUGUUGAAAGGGAAGCGCUUGCAACCAGACUUGUGCGCGGCGGUUCCCCCUUCCUUCUGGUUGGGAUAUUCCGUCGUGUCCAGGCCAACAUCGGUUCUGGGGGCCGGUUAAAGGCUUGGGGAAUGUAUCUACCCUUCGGGCGUAGACUUAUAGCCUCGAGUGUCAUGCGGCCUCCCGGGACCGAGGAACGCGCUCCGGCUCGGAUGUUGGCGUAAUGGUUGUUAGCGACCCGUCUUGAAACACGG